CUACGGGGUGCUGCAGUGAGGAAUAUUGCACAAUGGGGGGACCCUGAUGCAGCAACGCCGCGUGGAGGAUGACGCAUUUCGGUGUGUAAACUCCUUUUAUAUGUCAAGAAAAUGACGGUAGCAUAUGAAUAAGCACCGGCUAACUCCGUGCCGGCAGCCGCGGUAAUACGGAGGGUGCAAGCGUUACUCGGAAUCACUGGGCGUAAAGGACGCGUAGGCGGGCUUGUAAGGCAGGUGUGAAAUCCUACAGCUAACUGUAGAGCUGCACUUGAAACUACGAGCCUAGAGUAUGGGAGGGGGAGAUGGAAUUAGUGGUGUAGGGGUAAAAUCCGUAGAUAUCACUAGGAAUACCUAAAGCGAAGGCGAUCUCCUGGAACAUAACUGACGCUAAGGCGUGAAAGCGUGGGGAGCAAACAGGAUUAGAUACCCCGGUAGUC
rnacentral:rRNA from 1 species